UAACGCGUAGGAAUGUACCCCAAAGUGAGGGAUAAGCACCAGAAAUGGUGUCUAAUACCGCAUGUGAUCUUCGGAUUAAAGCUUCGGCGCUAUGGGAACAGCCUGCGUAUGAUUAGCUUGUUGGUGAGGUAAUGGCUCACCAAGGCGACGAUCAUUAGCUGGUCUGAGAGGAUGAUCAGCCUGACUGGGACUGAGAACGGCCCAG
rnacentral:rRNA from 1 species